GACGAACGCUGGCGGCGUGCUUAACACAUGCAAGUCGAACGAAGUGGCGAACGGGUGAGUAACGCGUAAUCAACCUGCCCUUCAGAGGGGUACAACAGUUGGAAACGACUGCUAAUACCGCAUACUGAAGGAGGGGAUUGCGUCUGAUUAGCUAGUUGGAGGGGGAACGGCCCACCAAGGCGAUGAUCAGUAGACGGUCUGGGAGGGUGGACGGGCCCCUUGGGACUGAGAACAGGGCCAGACUUCCACGGGAGGCAGGAGGUGGGAAUCUUCCGAAAUGGAGGAAAGUCUGGCGGAGCAAAGCCGCGGGGGGGAUGACGGCCUUCGGGUUGUAAAGCUCUGUUAAUCGGGACGCGGUACCGGAAGAGAAAGCCACGGCUAACUACGUGCCAGCAGCCGCGGUAAUAC
rnacentral:rRNA from 1 species